AAUGAACGUUGGCGGCGUGGAUUAGGCAUGCAAGUCGUACGGAGGUAGCAAUACCUUAGUGGCGAAAGGGAUAGGAAUACAUAGAUUAUCUGCCCUCAGGUCGUGGAUAGCGGCGGGAAACUGCCGGUAAUACACGAUAAUUUCCCCGGAACAAAGGUGAGAUUCCGCCUGGGGAUGAGUCUAUGUCCUAUUAGCUAGUUGGUAGUGUAAUGGACUACCAAGGCGAUGAUGGGUACGAGGCGUGAGAGCGUGUCCUCGAUCACUGGAACUGAGACACUGUCCAGACACCUACGGGUGGCUGCAGUCGAGAAUCUUCGGCAAUGGGCGAAAGCCUGACCGAGCGACGCCGCGUGUGUGAUGAAGGUCUUCGGAUUGUAAAGCACUGUAAGUUGGGAGGAA
rnacentral:rRNA from 1 species